GCGGAGGAGAAAGUCCGCCUUGCUCGCAAGAGAUUGCUCACGGCGCAGUCCAGACAGCAAAGUUAUGCAGAUAGGCGCCGUCGAGAUAUAGAAUUUGCGGUGGGUGACCGCGUAUUCUUGAAGGUUAGGUGGAGCAAUCAUGACGAUCGCGAAGCCACCUGGGAACUCGAGGAUCUGAUGAGAAAACACCAUCCUCAUCUAUUUGAGGAGUAAGGUACGGAUUUGAAUUAAAAUAAAGAAUUGAGUUAGUUUCGAGGACGAAACUCCUUUUAAGGAGGGGAGGAUGUAAGGAAGUGAAUUUUCGAAAUGUGAGGAUUGUACUUCAUCCAGGAUCGACUAAUUGUCGAGAGUAUACCCUUUGUGGGAGUUGGGAAUGUCCAAAGCACAA
rnacentral:lncRNA from 1 species